AAACUUUUCAGCUAGAGUUUGAUAGAGGAAAGCAGAAUUUCUAGUGUAGAGGUGAAAUUCGUAGAUAUUAGAAAGAAUACCAAUUGCGAAGGCAGCUUUCUGGAUCAUUACUGACACUGAGGAACGAAAGCAUGGGUAGCGAAGAGGAUUAGAUACCCUCGUAGUCCAUGCCGUAAACGAUGUGUGUUAGACGUUGGAAAUUUAUUUUCAGUGUCGCAGCGAAAGCGAUAAACACACCGCCUGGGGAGUACGACCGCAAGGUUAAAACUCAAAUGAAUUGACGGGGACCCGCACAAGUAGUGGAGCAUGUGGUUUAAUUCGAAGAUACGCGCAGAACCUUACCAACACUUGACAUGUUCGUCGCGACUUUAAGAGAUUAAAGUUUUCGGUUCGGCCGGACGAAACACAGGUGCUGCAUGGCUGUCGUCAGCUCGUGUCGUGAGAUGUUGGGUUAAGUCCCGCAACGAGCGCAACCCUCACUUUUAGUUGCCAUCAUUAAGUUGGGCACUCUGAAAGAACUGCCAGUGAUAAGCUGGAGGAAGGUGGGGAUGACGUCAAGUCCUCAUGGCCCUUACGUGUUGGGCUACACACGUGCUACAAUGGUAUCUACAACAGGAAGCAAGACGGCGACGUUAAGCAAAUCCUUAAAAGAUACCUCAGUUCGGAUUGCACUCUGCAACUCGAGUGCAUGAAGCUGGAAUUACUAGUAAUCGUGGAUCAGCGUGCCACGGUGAAUGCGUUCCCGGGUCUUGUACACACCGCCCGUCACACCAUGGGAGUUGGUUCUACCUUAAGGCAAGGCUUAAAACCCUUGACCACGGUAUAGUCAGCGACUGGGGUGAAGUCGUAACAAGGUAGCCGUA
rnacentral:rRNA from 1 species